GAGGGCGCAGCCGUCGUUCGGGGGUCACGUGAACCCACGCCUCGCGUGUCGGGCCGUUCUGAUAAAGGGCCUCCUCCUACCGCGGGCCCGAGUCAGAGGGCUGACAGACUCGCGGCUGAGCAUGGACCCGUCCGGGGCGUCCAGUUCCAGUGGAGAGGCAGGAAACCAAGCGUGCUGACGGGAGGAGCAUGGUCUGUGCGUAAAACUCCGGGUCGCUGUCGUUAUUCCGUCAAGAAAUAUGUCCUGUAAACUCUUCAUUUGUUAGCACCGUACCAGACGCAAGGGAUGCGACAGAGAACAAGGCAGGCACUUCGAGAGUUCACAGUCUGUUGAAGAAGACCGACAAGGAAACAGAAUUGAGAUGCGUUGUGAAAAAAUGACCACAAUGAGUUCUUGACGGGUGCCGUAAGAGCACGGGGGAGACACGGGGUAGGAGGUCUGGAAAGGCUUUAAGACGACGUCUGAGUGACACGUGAAGAGCCGAUGUAACGAAGGAAGAAUACCUAAGUAAAGGAAACGAGAUGGAAAAGUCGAAAGACGCGGUCGCAUUGAGCACUUGGGGAGGUUGUUCUAUGCCACAGGGAUACAGGAGUUGCCGGGAAGAUGGUGAGAGGUAGGCAGAGAACUUUGUGAAUCUGGUUGGUGCUGUUUCAAAGUGUGGAGCAGCAUCACAGUCUUUUCAAAUGAGUCAGCCCUUCACAUCAGGCCAAAGUAUUGAAGUUUCAGCUUCAACAUCAGUCCUUCCAAUGAACAUUCAGGACUGAUCUCCUUUAGGAUGGACUGAUUGGAUCUCCUUGCAGUCCAAGGGACUCUCAAGAGUCUUCUCCAACACCACAGUUCAAAAGCAUCAAUUCUUCGGCGCUCAGUUUUAUGGUCCAACUCUCACAUCCAUUCGUGACUACUGGAAAAACCAUAGCCUUGACUAGACAGACCUUUGUUGGCAAAGUAAUGUCUCAGCUUUUUAGUAUGCUAUCUAGGUUGGUCAUAACUUUCCUUCCAAGGAGUAAGUGUCUUAAUUUCAUGGCUGCAGUCACCUUCUGCAGUGAUUUUGGAGCCCAAGAAAAUAAAGUCUGCCACUGUUUCCCCAUCUAUUUGCCACGAAGUUAUGGGACCAGAUGCCAUGACCUUUGUUUUCUGAAUGUUGAGCUUUAAGCCAACUUUUUCACUCUUCUCUUUCACUUUCAUCAAGAGGCUGUUUAGUUCUUCACUUUCUGCCAUAAUGGUGGUGUCAUCUGCAUAUAUGAGGUUAUUAAUAUUUCUGCCGGCAAUCUUGAUUCCAGC
ensembl:lncRNA